UUUCCGUAGGUGAACCUGCGGAAGGAUCAUCACUAAAACUAUCAAAAAUUAAAGAAAUUUAGUUUUUUGAAAAUAAAUUUAAAACCCCUUUUGAGUAAACUGUAACGAUGGGUCUUUUACUUUUUGGUUUUCCAAAAACUAAGAGACCUUUAAAAAAGGGCAUGGUUAAAAUUUAUAACUUUUGGUUUAUUUUUUAACCAUGUUUCAUUUUUUUAAAAAUUUCCUUUUUGUUAAACUUUUUUCGAUUGUGAAUUCUUUUUAAAAAAUCAUUUUUUGGUUUUAUAAAAAGAGUUUUCUUUUUCAAAAAUAAUUUAAUUGAAAAACAAAACUUUUAACAAUGGAUCUCUUGGUUCUU
rnacentral:misc_RNA from 1 species